rfam:Brachypodium distachyon strain Bd21 chromosome 1, whole genome shotgun sequence.
UACGUACUUCCUCCGUCCAACAAAGGAUGUCUCAACUUUGACUAAAUUUGGAUGCAUCUAUACACCAAGUCAUGUCUAGAUACAUCCAAAUUUUGACAAACUUGAGACAUCUUUUGUUCGACGGAGGGAGUAUGAA